rnacentral:rRNA from 1 species
GAUGAACGCUGGCGGCGUGCCUAACACAUGCAAGUCGAACGGGGAUUCCGGACGGACGUUUUCGGAUGGAAGACUGUAAUUCUUAGUGGCGGACGGGUGAGUAACGCGUGGGCAACCUGCCCUAUACAGGGGGAUAGCAGCUGGAAACGGCUGGUAAGACCGCAUAAGUCGGUUAAAUCGCAUGAUUUGAUCGGGAAAUGAGCAAUCAGGUAUAGGAUGGGCCCGCGUCCGAUUAGCCAGUUGGCAGGGUAAAAGCCUACCAAAGCGACGAUCGGUAGCCGGACUGAGAGGUCGGACGGCCACAUUGGGACUGAGACACGGCCCAAACUCCUACGGGAGGCAGCAGUGGGGGAUAUUGCACAAUGGAGGAAACUCUGAUGCAGCGACGCCGCGUGAGUGAAGAAGUAUUUCGGUAUGUAAAGCUCUAUCAGCAGGGAAGAUGAUGACGGUACCUGACUAAGAAGCCCCGGCUAACUACGUG